rnacentral:rRNA from 1 species
GACGAACGCUGGCGGCGUGCUUAACACAUGCAAGUCGAACGGAAAGGCCUGCUUUCCCUUGUGGAUUGCGGGUACUCGAGUGGCGAACGGGUGAGUAACACGUGAGUGAUCUGCCCCCAACUUGGGUAUAAGCCUGGGAAACUGGGUCUAAUUCCCGAUAGGACUGCAGGGUGGUGCCUGUGGUGGAAAACGAUUUUCUAGUGGUUGGGGAUGAGCUCGCGGCCUAUCAGCUUGUUGGUGGGGUAAUGGCCUACCAAGGCGGCGACGGGUAGCCGGCCUGAGAGGGUGGACGGCCACAUUGGGACUGAGAUACGGCCCAGACUCCUACGGGAGGCAGCAGUGGGGAAGAUUGCACAAGGGGCGGAAGCCUGAUGCAGCGACGCCGCGUGGGGGAUGACGGCCUUCGGGUUGUAAACUCCUUUCGACCGCGAGGAAGCCACCUGGUUGGAAGGGUGGUGACGGUAGUGGUAGAAGAAGCACCGGCUAACUACGUG